UAGGGAAUAUUGGUCAAUGGAUGCAAGUCUGAACCAGCCAUGCCGCGUGCAGGAAGAAGGCGUUAUGCGUUGUAAACUGCUUUUGCCAGGGGAUAAAAUUUCCUUGCGAGGAACAUUGAAGGUACCUGGUGAAUAAGCCACGGCUAACUACGUGCCAGCAGCCGCGGUAAUACGUAGGUGGCAAGCGUUGUCCGGAUUUAUUGGGUUUAAAGGGUGCGUAGGCGGCCCUGUAAGUCAGUGGUGAAAUACUCCAGCUUAACUGGAGGGGUGCCAUUGAUACUGCAGGGCUUGAGUGGAGUCGAAGUAGGCGGAAUUGACGGUGUAGCGGUGAAAUGCUUAGAUAUCGUCAAGAACACCGAUAGUGAAGACAGCUUACUAGGCUUCUACUGACGCUGAGGCACGAAAGUGUGGGGAUCAAACAGGAUUAGAUACCCUGGUAGUCCACACUGUAAACGUUGAUUACUCGCUGCUGGCGAUACACAGCCAGCGGCCCAGCGCAAGCGAUAAGUAAUCCACCUGGGGAGUACGCCGGCAACGGUG
rnacentral:rRNA from 1 species